rnacentral:lncRNA from 1 species
UGUUUCUUUCCUUUACAGGGCCCAGAUUAAAGGGGAAUCGUGUUCAAGUGGGAUCGAGUGAGGUGCCCAGAGCACAAAAGUGAAAGUGACACUCUCGGUUCCUGGAGGCUGGGAACAAGACCCGAGUUCCGUCUGAAGAUCAUGGGUCCCCAGGAAGACUGAGGCCAGCUCACUUGCCUGUUCUCAGCUAGGACCUCUCACCUCUCAUUUAUCUACUCUGGACCGUCAACAAGCCAGGUCACUGCAGCGCCCGCUUGCUCGCUGGCUCGCUCACUCGCAGGCCAAAGCUUGUUCUCACCCUCCAAGCAGUGAGAGCCACUGAUCCGUGUGAGUAAAGGGUUAACAAAACCUUUUCCUCUUUUGCAGGAGAAUUUGACCUUUGGUUAACUAUCUAGCUCUGUUUCCUUGGAAACAGAUAAACAUAUGUCCACUAUGUUACUAGGCAACAUUGCUGUGAUAAAAAUGACCCCUGAGGAAGAGGCUGGAACGAUCCAUGUGGUAAUUGAUUAGAAUUGGAGCUAUCAGGAGGAAUUCCUGUUUAGCUUAACUUAGAUGCAGAAGAUUACAUGUAGAAAUGCUUAUAAAUAUGCGUAUGCACCCAGGUAGGUAAACAGGUGCCUAGACAGUGAUAGCGCACAGCAGUGAGCACAUGUGGUCCCCAGAUUUGGUCUCCAAUACCGUUCACCAACAUAAGGAACCAGGGAGAGACAGCUGAUUCUGGGAC